GGGCCCGCACAAGCGGUGGAUUAUGUGGAUUAAUUCGAUGCAACGCGAAAAAACCUUACCUAGCCUUGACAUGUACCGAAUUUAGCAGAGAUGCUUUAGUGCUCGUAAGAGAACGGUAACACAGGUGCUGCAUGGCUGUCGUCAGCUCGUGUCGUGAGAUGUUGGUUAAGUCCCGCAACGAGCGCAACCCUUGCCAUUAAUUGCCAUCAUUUAGUUGGGCACUUUAAUGGGACUGCCGGUGACAAACCGGAGGAAGGUGGGGAUGACGUCAAGUCCUCAUGGCCCUUAUGGCUAGGGCUUCACACGUAAUACAAUGGUCGGUACAGAGGGUAGCCAACCCGCGAGGGGGAGCC
rnacentral:rRNA from 1 species